GCACACAGGUGCUGCAUGGCUGUCGUCAGCUCGUGUUGUGAAAUGUUGGGUUAAGUCCCGCAACGAGCGCAACCCCUGCCUAUAUUUGCCAUCAUUAAGUUGGGAACUUUAUAGGGACUGCCGGUGAUAAGCCGGAGGAAGGUGGGGAUGACGUCAAGUCCUCAUGGCCCUUAUGGGCUGGGCUACACACGUGCUACAAUGGUGGUGACAGAGGGUCGCAAAGUCGCGAGGCGGAGCUAAUCCCAAAAAGCCAUCU
rnacentral:rRNA from 1 species